CCCGCACAAGCGGUGGARAAAWGWGGUUUAAUUYGAAKCAACGCGCAGAACCUUACCAUCCUUUGACAUGGCGUGUUACCCAGAGAGAUUUGGGGUCCACUUCGGUGGCGCGCACACAGGUGCUGCAUGGCUGUCGUCAGCUCGUGUCGUGAGAUGUUGGGUUAAGUCCCGCAACGAGCGCAACCCACGUCCUUAGUUGCCAUCAUUCAGUUGGGCACUCUAGGGAGACUGCCGGUGAUAAGCCGCGAGGAAGGUGUGGAUGACGUCAAGUCCUCAUGGCCCUUACGGGAUGGGCUACACACGUGCUACAAUGGCGGUGACAGUGGGASGSGAAGGAGCGAUCUGGAG
rnacentral:rRNA from 1 species